ACUACCCAAGCCUGCUGAAAAUAAGAUUAGCGGAGAAUUCUGUAUCAGAGCGUGGCUUACUUUAUCAAUAAACUCCGGCAACAUCUGAACAAAAGCACGAAGAUCUGGGUUAACGGUCAGAUAGCGGAGAAUUCUAUAUCGGAGCGUGGUUCACUUUAUCAACAAACUCCGGCAACAUCUGAAUAAAAGCACGAAGAUCUUGGUUAACGGUCAAAUAGCGGAGAAUUCUACAUCGGAGCGUGGUUCACUUUAAUGACGAUCUCUGGCAACAUCUGAGCAAAAGGUACUUGCAUUUUAUUUCUCUGUCUUUCUAACUUUCAAACCUUUAUUAAGUACCCCAAAUAGCUGUACCCCAAAAUAGCAUGCCAUCAAAAAUAAAAUUCAAGGUAAGAACCUAGUCAAAAA
rnacentral:lncRNA from 13 species